ensembl:misc_RNA
UUGAAAAUGAAAGUUCUCUAUCCACAGAACAGGUGCAGCAUGGGCUCUGACAGUGGAAGCUUCCCUACAUGAUCCUACCACUAUGCCUCAACAAUGGCUUUCAGGGGACAUUUCUACAGGGGUGUAAUAAUUUGAGAAAUCUAUCUGUACAAUUUAUGGAUUCU